rnacentral:lncRNA from 1 species
AUGUGAUCUGCCCUCCUUGGCCUCCCAAAGUACUGUGAUUACAGUCAUGAGCCACCACACCUGGCCAGAUGAAAGUGUUUCAUUAUCAUUUCCUCUUUCUAUGUCCCAGGUUCAUGGGGAUUUCUCUUUUUUGUUUGCAGUUGAACUUGGUAAGUUAAAUUUAAAGCAAUAAAAAAUGUCAACUACAUUUUUGUCAACAGAGCAACAGAUAAAAGUGUCUAGGUAUCUUGUGUGGUGUCCACUGAAGACUUUGUAAAUAUAGUUAUACACUGGUACCAGCAGAAACUGAAUCUAAAUUAUGAGCCAUCUGACAAAUAUCACUUCAAUAACAAGCCCCAGUUCGAGUUUGCUUAGGUGAGAAAAACAAGAAACUUGAGGCAAGAACAAAUUUUCAAAUGUCUACUUCAGUCUUUACCAUAAACUUCAUAGGAAAGGAAGAUGAGGCCAUUUACUACUGCACUGCUUAGGACC